rnacentral:rRNA from 1 species
UACGAAGGGAGCUAGCGUUGUUCGGAAUCACUGGGCGUAAAGCGCACGUAGGCGGAUGUGUCAGUCAGGGGUGAAAUCCCGGGGCUCAACUUCGGAACUGCCUUUGAUACAGCACGUCUUGAGUCCGAUAGAGGUGGGUGGAAUUCCUAGUGUAGAGGUGAAAUUCGUAGAUAUUAGGAAGAACACCGGUGGCGAAGGCGGCCCACUGGAUCGGUACUGACGCUGAGGUGCGAAAGCGUGGGGAGCAAACAGG